rnacentral:snRNA from 1 species
AUCGCUUCUCGGCCUUUUGGCUAAGAUCAAGCGUACUAUCUGUCCUUAUCAGUUUAAAAAAGCAUAAUGAGCAAUUCUAAUACCAUCAUGUAUUUCUCUAUACCUAACUUUAAUAAUGUACUUUUU